ensembl:lncRNA
CACUACCAUGUUUGAAUUAAGCUCUAAAGGUACAGUUUUACCAGAUGCUCAUCAUGGUGAGAUGGGAAACACAGAGGCAAUGUCUUCUUUAGGCCCUUGGCUAACGCUAUUCUGAAAAUGGUAGAGAUAAUGAAGACAUAAGAGUCAAAAGACAAUGGCAAAAGUAGUAGGCAGAAGACUGUCAGUAACAAGAUCAGUGAUUGGACUAGCAGAAAUAAGUCCAACAUGACUUGCACAUAAUAGAGAAAAUGAUCAGUGAGUGGAUCACAAUAGGUUAGUUAGAGAAGGGCCACAGUCUGAACCAGUGAUAGAUGCAAUCCUGUUGUACACAGUGAGGAUGCCAGCAGAACACAUGUCCUCCAGUUCUUGAAUUGAGCCCAGAUCAAAGCUGAAUACAGGAGGAGCUGAAGUGUGAAGUUCACUCAACACCUUCAUCUUCUUUGACCUGAACCUGUCUCUGUAAUGGUUAAGUAGCUAUGCAGUCUGAACACUGUGUGGCCAUCUGCAAUGCCCCUCC